GUUUUUUCCUCAGGCAUUUCAAAGGUGAAAGAUUCUCCCCCGGGGCCUGAAAGCUUAAGGGAAUGGAUAUCUCCUCCCUCCUCAGGCCCAGCCCCAAGGCUCAAGGCCACUUGCCCCAGGAAGAUAGCAGAAACAGGAAGAAAGCUGGCCGAGAGACACAUACCCGCUGAAGAUCGAAAAGGAAGCUGUCAAGGUACUACGUAGCAGUCACUUCAGACUCGGACACUUCCUGUUUACAGAGGACUAUAAAACCCCUGCCCCGUCCUCACUUGACGCUGACGCCAUUUUAGGCCUCAGCCCAUCUGCACCCAGGCGCUCGUUAAAACAGCCUGUAGCUCCACACCGCCUCCUGUUGUCUGUUGGCACGUUCUCGGGGUUCCAACCGAUACAAGAGCCUUGCAAAAGGUUGGGAUCAUGGUGCCAGAGGCAGGACCAAAAUGAGAUCCCCUCAGACAAAUUGGCAACCCCUGGAAUGGAGUGUGGUAUCAACUGAGCCCACUGUGUAUCUCCUCUUGGAUUCUAGGACUCUUACUUUGGAUAAUGGUGUAAUUGAAAUUUCACAUUCAGUAGCUUCUGCUGGUAACUUGACUGAACCUGAGCUAUGAGAUGCUUUAGUCUACCUAGUGGGUCUCACGCCACUUGAUUACUACCCUGAUUUCUCUAUCCAUAGCUACCAACCCUACUUUAAUAUGUGCAACUUUCUGAAAAUAAAAUUUUAAACAGGGGACUGAAGGAAACGAGACUAUUUCACUCAGAAAUUUGGUUAAAGAAAUAGUUGCAAGGUCUCUCUGGCCUCUCCCCUACCCUGCUGUUAUCUCUGAAUCACCUGUCUCUCUCGAGCACAGGAUUAAUCUGUUCUCUCAAGUUCCCUUACUUUCCUAGAAACCAGAUAUGCUAAAGAGAAACAGAGUUGCCUUCUCUGAAAUUUCAUUAACCAGAAAAGAUGAAAACUCAUAUUCCAGAGGAGGAGAUUGAAAACUAAACCCUACACCUAGAGCCCAGACUUUGUUCCAAAUCAAACUCUCUGUUCAAUUUAAUUUCCAAAGAAAUUAUUUAUUAACCAUUGUCUGAGCAUUAAAUCUAUUCAUUUUCCCCAUAAAAAGCAUUUACUAUCCCUCAGACGGCCCCAUUUCUCCUAACUCUUCUUCCCCUAUGAAGAAGGCGUUAUACACAUCUGUACCACAUUGAGUUACUGGGUAAUCAUUUUUCUGUAAUUUCCUUAUGCUAUGCACAUUAAAAUUAAUUUGUAUGCAUUUUCCUAUUAAUUUGCUUUUUGUCUAUUCAGUUUCAGUGAAC
rnacentral:lncRNA from 10 species